rnacentral:tRNA from 1 species
AAUCAAUGAACUUGUUAAAGUAUAUAUUUUGAAAAUAUAACAAAGAAUUAAUCUUCUAUUGAUUU